AGGGAAUCUUCGGCAAUGGGGGCAACCCUGACCGAGCAACGCCGCGUGAGUGAAGAAGGUUUUCGGAUCGUAAAGCUCUGUUGUAAGUCAAGAACGAGUGUGAGAGUGGAAAGUUCACACUGUGACGGUAGCUUACCAGAAAGGGACGGCUAACUACGUGCCAGCAGCCGCGGUAAUACGUAGGUCCCGAGCGUUGUCCGGAUUUAUUGGGCGUAAAGCGAGCGCAGGCGGUUUGAUAAGUCUGAAGUUAAAGGCUGUGGCUCAACCAUAGUUCGCUUUGGAAACUGUCAAACUUGAGUGCAGAAGGGGAGAGUGGAAUUCCAUGUGUAGCGGUGAAAUGCGUAGAUAUAUGGAGGAACACCGGUGGCGAAAGCGGCUCUCUGGUCUGUAACUGACGCUGAGGCUCGAAAGCGUGGGGAGCGAACAGGAUUAGAUACCCUGGUAGUCCACGCCGUAAACGAUGAGUGCUAGGUGUUGGAUCCUUUCCGGGAUUCAGUGCCGCAGCUAACGCAUUAAGCACUCCGCCUGGGGAGUACGACCGCAAGGUUG
rnacentral:rRNA from 1 species